GUGCACCUCGGCCUCCAUCAUUGCAGGCAGGCUUGCAGCUGCCACCAUGAAAGCUCGAGUGCAGCAGAAGUUGGAAUUCUGAAUGCCAAAGGCGUGCCUUGAAUCGGAAACCUUAUUCUGGUGACUUGGUUAAUGCUUCGUGGAUUCCGGCCACAUGCUCAUAAAUGAAGAUGACAAGAACCGAAAGAAACCCAACUGCAGGCACACAUCAAGAUGUAGACGGGGAUGAUCACAUCCAAUCAAAUGCUUCCCCUCCUCUCGAGAGAAGUCAUCAGAGCUUCCCUCUCGGAUAAAGCCUAGAUCGAUCGCUAGAAGAAGAAGAAGAAGAAGAAGUACAGAAAGAUUCACAGCACUCGAGCAAAAGGGAC